rnacentral:rRNA from 1 species
CGCCAGACUCCUACGGGAGGCAGCAGUGGGGAAUAUUGCACAAUGGGGGAAACCCUGAUGCAGCGACGCCGCGUGAGCGAUGAAGUAUUUCGGUAUGUAAAGCUCUAUCAGCAGGGAAGAAAAUGACGGUACCUGACUAAGAAGCCCCGGCUAACUACGUGCCAGCAGCCGCGGUAAUACGUAGGGGGCAAGCGUUAUCCGGAUUUACUGGGUGUAAAGGGAGCGUAGACGGCAAUGCAAGCCAGAUGUGAAAGCCCGGGGCUCAACCCCGGGACUGCAUUUGGAACUGUGUAGCUGGAGUGUCGGAGAGGCAGGCGGAAUUCCUAGUGUAGCGGUGAAAUGCGUAGAUAUUAGGAGGAACACCAGUGGCGAAGGCGGCCUGCUGGACGAUGACUGACGUUGAGGCUCGAAAGCGUGGGGAGCCAACAGGAUUAGAUACCCCAGUA